rnacentral:sRNA from 1 species
GCACAUAUAAGGAGAUAGAGCGCAAGCAAGAGCUCAGGAAUGUAAAUCCUGCAAAGGCAAAGGUUGAAAUCUGAGAGACGUUCUUGAACAUGUAUUUUAUUCUUUCAGCAUUGAAAGUAAACUGUGCUUUGCUCCCGAAAAAAGGGAUGAUGUAAAAUUUAUUAUUGGUUGCUACACUUACCUUUCAGCACAUUCAGUGGGCUUCAGUGGUUCAAGAAGUGGGACAUCAAGCUCAUCCUUCACCUGAUCACCUACUUUUUCAGUAACUACCCAAUCAUUUGCACGUGCAGUUUCAAGUAAACCGCUUAGAGCUGCACGCAUACGGUGCAUGGCCAUGACAUUCUCAAAUAGAAUCCAGAAUGGCAUGAGAUGGACUGACCUAUCAUAUUGCAUAAGAUAAUCUAGAUAAGUCGGCAGUAAGAAAGUACAUAGGAGGCUGUACUAGUAGGAAAGAGCCAUGCGUUACCCUGGAUUUCUGAUGGCAUUCAUAAUAGUAAUGGCUGUGGGAAUAUAGACCAGGCCCCACACAGGAAUAGUGACUUCAGGAACCAUGGCAGACAAUGGGAUGACAAUACAGUAGAACAAGAAAGUCAGGAUGGGAGCAAUGGCUCUCCGUACGAAGAAAAAACUGUACAGAAGAUGAUAUUUCUUCCACAUUGAUACCUCCUACAUCAAACAUAGAUGAUAAUAGUGUUACAAGAUAACAAGACAAACUUUUGUCUUUUGGGGAGAGGUUCAAGAAGGCAAACCUUGUUUGUAAUAAUUUCCCAUGCCAUUUUUCUGAAAAGAUUGGCAGCACCACAUGUCCAUCUAUGUUGUUGGUGACGGUAGGCCUGGAAGGUACUUGGGAGUUCACUCUUCACCUGUGUAAUAUUAAUAAUUUCAAUGCUGUCAAGGCACAGCAUAACACAUGCUAGUCAU